rnacentral:snoRNA from 1 species
CCCCUCUCAGAGUCGCACCUGGAGAGUUUCCAGUCCUCUACCAGUCUCAACUAUGGGAGGGAGAGUCAAGCAGAGGCCUGUCCAUUCCAUUCCUAGCUUGGCCAGUGGUUAGGGAGGGGAAGGCAAUCUGCUACAGGU